UACAGAGGUCUCAAGCGUUGUUCGGAUUCAUUGGGCGUAAAGGGUGCGUAGGUGGCGCUGUAAGUCGGGUGUGAAAUUUCGGAGCUUAACUCCGAAACUGCAUUCGAUACUGCGGUGCUUGAGGACUGGAGAGGAGACUGGAAUUCAUGGUGUAGCAGUGAAAUGCGUAGAUAUCGUGAGGAACACCAGAGGCGAAGGCGGUUACCUGGACAGUUACUGACGCUCAGGCACGAAAGCGUGGGGAGCGAACAGG
rnacentral:rRNA from 1 species